AUGUGUGUUUCCCUAUUACUGUCCCCCGGGCACUGCCCACCCUCUGCCCUGUGAAGGAGGAUACAUGGCCAUCAGCUCGCCUGGGCCAAGGGAUUCCUUUGAGAAGUUCUGCAGAAUCUGUGAUGCAGGCAGCUAUCGUAAUGACUCUUCCAUCUCUGCUCCCUGUCAGCCCUGCCCGGCAGGCUUCAUCUGCCCACAAGGCAGUGAGACUUACCACAAGAAGCCUUGUCCCAUUGGCUAUUACUGCCCUCCCCUGGCAUCUGCCCCUCUUCCCUGUCCCCCGGGGACCCGUGGGAGCACCAACUUGGCCAAGGAUAUAGAAGACUGUCAGGCCUGUCCUGCUGGCACAUUCAAUCACCUUCCUGCUCAGGCUGCCUGUUUUCCCUGUGGCAGCUCCUCUUCAUCACAGCCGGGUGCUACCAGCUGUACCUGCCAUGGGCUGAACCGGGCUUUCCAGCACUCAGAUGCCUCCUGUGUCUGCCAGGCAGGUUAUGUUUACUAUGAUGAGCGAAGCAAGGAAAACUCUGACAGCAACAGUGACCAGGACUGCCGACCUCAGAUGUCACUGCAAGCAGUACAUCUCUGCUGAGGAGCUCUGUGACCAAAUGUGUUUGUUGAAAGCCCCACGGAUCUCCUUGGGGUUUGGCAUCAAGAGAGAGCUGCUUCUGAAGAUGGAUGAAGGAGUCAGGGAAGUGACAAAUGUUUUGGGCCCAGAUGAACACGUGCAGAAGAGCCAGAGGGUGCAUUUGGUUCUCUUUAAUCCCAGUGGAGUGCUGGGCUUCAUUGUCUCCAGCACGGAUGUCUUGGAUGCAUUUCUCUCAGGAGAUUUUUCAUCAGAUCAGUUGGUGCAGAAAGGUCAUCGAGUCCAGAGGGCUUUCUUCAAAGGUAUCCAUGCCUUGCCCCUUGUCCCUAACCCAGUGGUAUGUUUGGAAGCAGGAGACACAAUCCUUUUCCAGCUUAGCAUCAAUUCUCACAAUCGUGCAUCCAGCCACUACCCUGUUUAUCAGAAGCAGCAUCUUUAUAACAGCAACCCUAGCUGGGAUUAUGGACCCUUCCGAAGGCUGGACCACCUCAUCCAGGAGACUCACCUCAACAUCUCCUGGUUUGCCCAUGUUUUCCUGGAGUCUGGGACGUAUGUAUUCAGGGAUAGGACCAUUGAGGAGCACUUUCUGAUUGUGACUGUGAAUGAAGCAAGCGUGGGCUGUGACCCCAGAGACGUGUCCUUCCAGCCCUCUUCUCUGUUCCAGCUGGCCAGACACGGGAUUUUGAAGCAACAGGAGUUGAACUUAGCUCCUGACUGGGCUUCCAUCAUAGCGGUGCUCUUCAUUCUGGGCUUCCUAAUUGUGAUGCUGACAACCCUGGCCAUUGUGCUGCAGCCCACUGUCCCCAUCCUUAGUCCCUUGAGGAGCUGGAAGCCUCGAUGGAGAAGCCUAGGUGAGCCACACAUCCCACCAGAGUGCAUCCUUCUAAAAGAAAGCCUUCUGUACUAUCAGAUGCUUGGUCCUCGUGGUUCUGGAGGAGAUGCUGCCUUUGGAGAAAAAGGAGCUGUGCAUAAUGAAGGAGGGUGUUGUGCAGUGAGAGACCUGGAGGAUUUCAGUGUUCGCACUCUGUACGAUAAGUUGGAAGAUCAGAAUUUGCACCUGGCGUCUCAGCUGGCAAAGCACAGGAGGGAUGUGUUGGUGUUUUACAAUGGAAUCAGCCAGCAGAUUCAAGGUCUCAUGGACACGGUGCAAGCACUGGAUGCUAAGGGCCUGAAAAUCUUUGCCAGGAAAAAGAUUUGUGGGCAUAGAUCUGCAGGCAGCAGCCGGGCAGCAGUGGGCAUUGAACAGCGUGAGGAACACUGCAGCAGCAGCUUCCAUGCAGCAGGGCAGGCAGGUGCACUGUGGCAAGAGGCAAUGGAGUUGAUGAAAGCUCUGGAAAUCCUGCUUGGGAGAGCUCAGCAUAAGAACAUGAAACAAGAGGUGGAGCAGCAGGUCCAUGGACAGGACAUGGUGGCAGUUUUACCCUCACUGCACAGUGAAGGCAAAGCAAAAGUAGUGGAAGGGCAGGAUUAUAAGCAGCCUGAGCAAGAAGAGCUCUUCAGGAAGAAAGGUGAUGCCUUCAGCUUCCCUGUGCAUGAAAAACCUGAGAAAUGCUUAAGAGGCACUUCCUCAGAGGAUAUGAGUACCACCCUCAUCCCCAUGGAUCCAGCCAGUUUGUCACCUCACCAGUUUGUGGUGUACCACUUUGGCUGUGCAGUGGUGCACCUGUUAACCAGGGCCUUCUCACACCCUGCUUUGGUGCUUAUGGUGGCUCAGUCCAUUCCUGCCCAAAGUCCAGAUCAAGUUCUUCUCCCAGGCUUUGGAGACUCCUACUAUGAUGCCAUUAAUAAGAGCCUGUAUGUGCAUGCAGCAAGGCUGGAGGAUGCUGGGGAGUUUAUUGCUGUCCUGCUGACCACUGUGGCAUGGAUAACAGCAGGUUGUCCCUCAACUGGUGCUGUUCCAUCCUGCUUUAUGAUGGAGCUCAACAGAGCUAUUGUGGCUCUCACCAAUGCCUUUUUCCAGGUUUCAUGGGGGAUAGCAGACAAGGACCCCUCAGGCUCAUCUGAUUGCUUUGACAUUCAGACGGUGCUCAGAGAACUUCGGAGCAUCAGAGUAGCACCACAUCCCUGUGUCAAGGGAAAAGCCCUGGGUGAAAGGGUGUCUAGAUUGCAAAAGUAUCAGUGCCUUCGUCUGCAAGAGGGGACCUUGGACAGGAUGGGGAAUUCACAGAGAAGUGACUACAACAGGAAUUCAGACUCCCCUGCUGUUAAGCUGAAGGUUACACAACUGGAGGAGAGGCUGGAUAAACUAAAUGAGGCGUUUGUUGAACUGGCAGCACAGGCCAUGAGUCUGCAAGAAGAUGGGGAUCUGUUGGAGAAGGAGCUGAGAACACAGGAGGAGUCACUUUUGACUUCAAGCAACAAAGAAGUGUGGGGAGCUCAGCGGUAUUCGGAACUGUUAGAUUCUUGGGCCACGAAGAGGGAUGAAGCCUUGCUGCUGGAAAUAGAGAGGAACUGCAUUGCUCAGAGAAUUGAAGAGAUAGAAGAGCAACUAUUGCAUCUUCAAAGUAAAGCAGCCAGCAGUUCACUUCCUUCAGGAACCUAA
rnacentral:lncRNA from 7 species